UCGAUGGCAGCAGCACUGUCUGCCAUGUGGCGACGAAGCCCCACAGCCAGAGCCAGUGCUCCCCCGCUCUCCGCUCCAUGCCUCUAGCGGUUCGCUCGCGAACAUGACUAAGCCAAACAACUUGACAACACUGUCGGGAAUUGUUGCUGCUUUUGAGUCAAUUCAUAAGAAACGAGGAAACCCGCCGCCAUAUCGUUGUUGCUGCCGUAUUUAUUUACGUACACAUGCCUGUGUAUUAUAUGCAUCCAUUAAAAAUCCAUCGACGAUAAGAACAGCGAAUUGCCCAAAGAGCUUGACAACAACAACAAUGGUAUCAGAAACGCUGAAAGUCCCCCGAAGUCUGAAACUUUCUGUGCCAAAUCGAACGGAAGCGAUUCGAUAAGAACUAUCAUCACACACACAAGCGCUCUCAAUAUGGAAAAUCCAUCAUACAUACAGAUGUGUGGAAUAUAUUCCAUGCCAUAGGAAUAGUUUUCGAUGUGUGCUCAGAUGUACAUUUAUUUGGACAGUUGACGUACGAUAACAACGCUCGGCACUUGGUCGGCGAUGAUAUCACGAAGAAAGAUCCAGAUCUAUAAUACCACGUAGCUAAACAAGUAUCUAAAGUAUCUCUAGGUGCAUGCAUUUGGUAUCCGUAUCUGUGUAAUACCAAUUGUUGGUACUCGUGGUCGAACUCGUACGAUUAAUCGAACAGGCGACGCUGCCACAUGCACGCGACGAUUGAUUACAGCAAUAAAACGUCUAUCGCAUCGAUUGAUUUAAAAAUAUAAACCCACACACACACACACACUCUCAGUCCCUCGAAGCCAUCCCAAAUGAUCGGCAAUUGGGCUGCACGGCAACAAUUAACCGGGCAUCUGUGUCCGUGUAUUUGUGUAUCUGUGCGCGCUGCGGUGUAUCUGUGGCAGUGGCAAGUAUCUGCGAGUCUGGCAAACAUAAAUAGGCACAAGUGGCCGGCCCCAAAAGUGCAGCAAAGCAACAACAACAGCCAGCGUACGUCGCCCCCGAUGGGUUCUUACUCAUUCACGCAUUGGGUAAUCGAUACACUCGCAGACACACAUGGAGAAACGCUGCUCAGCCGCCAAAUGAAACCAUUAAGCGCUACAUAAAGCAGUCCACGUCGGGGGAAGUCGGGGCCAAACGCGGGUCAAGGGGGUGCGGAGGGGCAUGGAGAGCGGCUGGGGCGACGCUGGAAACAUUGCAACCAGAAGCUACGAUCGCCAGUGCCGCCAAACUGGCGACAGUGCCACACAGGCAGAAAAAGUUGUACUCUUGUGAAUUUACCACUUAUAUUUACGAUAUCUUAAAGUUUGAAAAAUAUAGAUACAUAAGUAUAAAGAUACAAAUAUAGAUACAUUAGUAUAAAGAUACAAAUAUACCUAUAUAGUAAAUUUGUAACAAAGAUACAUAAGUAUAAAGAUACAAAGAUAGAUACAUAAGU